rnacentral:rRNA from 1 species
UUAGGGAACUUUCACACUGGGCGCAAGCCUGAUGGAGUGACGCCGCGUGCAGGAGGAAGGCCUUCGGGUCGUAAACUGCUUUUGUGGGGGACGAGGAUGACGGUACCCCACGAAGAAGCCCCGGCUAACUACGUGCCAGCAGCCGCGGUAAUACGUAGGGGGCGAGCGUUGUCCGGAAUUACUGGGCGUAAAGCGCGCGUAGGCGGCGCGGCGCAUCUGCAGUGAAAGCCCUGGGCUCAACCCAGGGAGGCCUGUGGAGAUGGCCGUGCUGGAGGGCAGUAGAGGCAAGCGGAAGUCCCGAAGUAGUGGUGAAAUGCGUAGAGAUCGGGAGGAACACCCGAGGCGAAGGCGGCUUGCUGGGCUGCGCCUGACGCUGAGGCGCGAAAGCUAGGGGAGCGAACGGAAUUAGAUACCCCCGUAGUCC